GAACGCGAAGAACCUUACCCGGGAUUGAAAUGUAGAUGACCGCUCCUGAAAGGGAGUUUUCCUUCGGGACAUCUAUGUAGGUGCUGCAUGGUUGUCGUCAGCUCGUGCCGUGAGGUGUCGGCUUAAGUGCCAUAACGAGCGCAACCCCUGUCUACGGUUGCCAUCAGGUGAUGCUGGGAACUCCGUAGAGACUGCCGUCGUAAGGCGUGAGGAAGGUGGGGAUGACGUCAAAUCAGCACGGCCCUUACAUCCGGGGCGACACACGUGUUACAAUGGUGGGGACAAAGGGCAGCUACCUGGCGACAGGAUGCGAAUCUCCAAACCCCAUCACAGUUCGGAUCGGAGUCUGCAACUCGACUCCGUGAAGCUGGAUUCGCUAGUAAUCGCGCAUCAGCCAUGGCGCGGUGAAUACGUUCCCGGGUCUUGUACACACC
rnacentral:rRNA from 1 species